GGAAAGGUGGCAGAGCGGUUCAAUGCAUCGGUUUUGAAAACCGACGUAGCUACCAAGCUACCGAGGGUUCGAAUCCCUCCCUUUCCG
rnacentral:tRNA from 1 species